AUUGAACGCUGGCGGCAGGCCUAACACAUGCAAGUCGAACGAGUGGCGGACGGGUGAGUAAUGUCUGGGAAACUGCCCGAUGGAGGGGGAUAACUAAUGGAAACGGUAGCUAAUACCGCAUACCAUCGGAUGUGCCCAGAUGGGAUUAGCUAGUAGGUGGGGUAACGGCUCACCUAGGCGACGAUCCCUAGCGUGUCAGAGAGGAUGACAAGCCCCACUGGCACGGAGACACAGUCCAGACUCCUACGGGAGGACGCAGUGGGGAAUAUUGCACAAUGGGCGCAGGCUUGAUGCAGCCAUGCCGCGUGUAUGAAGAAGGCCUUCGGGUUGUAAAGUACUUUCAGCGAGGAGGCGUUACUCGCAGAAGAAGCACCGGCUAACUCCGUGCCAGCAGCCGCGGUAAUAC
rnacentral:rRNA from 1 species